CGCCCGUCACACCAUGGGAGCUGGUAAUGCCCGAAGUCGGUUUAGUCAACUACGGAGACAACUGCCUAAGGCAGGACUGGUGACUGGGGUGAAGUCGUAACAAGGUAUCCCUACGAGAACGUGGGGAUGGAUUACCUCCUUUCUACGGAGUACACAUAAUAACAAUUUAUUGUUACUUUAAUUACCUUUUUUAUAAAACAAAUAAUUUUGUCAUGGGAUAUAUCUAGUUUUGAGAGAACUUUCUCUCUAUGUUCUUUGAAAACUGAAUAGUAAAGAUAUUAAUAUAACAACGACAUUAAAAAAUAAAUUAAUUAGUCAAUUUGUUUUGUGAUACCGAGAAAUUAUUAGAAAUAAUAAUUCGUUAAAAUGUCUUUGAAUACAUCAACAACAAUAGGAAAAUAUUGUUACAACUUUUAAAUAAGUAAGAGUUUGUGGUGGAUGCCUUGGGUCUGAAAGUCGAUGAAGGACGUGAUUACCUGCGAUAAGCCUCGUGGAGCUGGAUAUAAGCAACGAAACGGGGAUUUCCGAAUGGGGAAACCUAACUAGAGUAAUGUCUAGUUGCUAUGGAAUGAAUAAAAUAGUUCCAUUUGCGAGACACGUUGUGAACUGAAACAUCUUAGUAGCAACAGGAAGAGAAAAUAAAAAUGAUUUCAUCAGUAGCGGCGAGCGAACGUGAAAGAGCCCAAACCAGUUUUUUAAACUGGGGUUGUAGGACUAUCUACAUAAAGUUACAAAUCUUUGUUAUAGCAGAAUAGUUUGGGAAAACUAAGCACAGAGGGUGAUACUCCCGUAUGUGAAAUGGCAAGGACUUUUGAUAGUAUCCUGAGUAGGGCGGGGCACGUGAAACCCUGUCUGAAUCUGCCGGGACCAUCCGGUAAGGCUAAAUACUAAUCAGACACCGAUAGUGAACUA
rnacentral:rRNA from 1 species